rnacentral:lncRNA from 1 species
AUUCACAAUAUAUAAACAUCAAUGAUUCUCAAACAUUCAACAUCAAGUGAUCAUAAAAAAUCCAACACUCCAUGUGGCCUAUACAUCUACACCAAACCUAGUCUAAUACAUCAAAAAUCAUGAAAAUGAGAAGAAGUUAGAGAAAAAAAAGAUAUAGAAAAUAAAAUCAAGCUAGGAAAUUAAAUAAUCUUACCUUAAGGUGUUUCCAAAUCCGAUUUUUGUCUUGAUGUUCUUCAACUCGAUGAUGGUCUCUCUAGUUCUCCAUAGCUCUUUCUCAAGUUUUUCAUAGUCCUCCUUGUUUCUCUCUAAGUUCUCUCAAA